GGCGGGGUAGUUUAAUAAGAACAGUGGGCUUAUGACCCAAAAGUGGGGAUAUAGAUUUCCCCUCUCGCUU
rnacentral:tRNA from 1 species